rnacentral:rRNA from 1 species
UACGAAGGGGGCUAGCGUUGUUCGGAUUUACUGGGCGUAAAGCGCACGUAGGCGGCUUCUUAAGUCGAUGGUGAAAUCCUGGAGCUCAACUCCAGAACUGCCUUCGAUACUGGGGAGCUCGAGUUCGGGAGAGGUGAGUGGAACUGCGAGUGUAGAGGUGAAAUUCGUAGAUAUUCGCAAGAACACCAGUGGCGAAGGCGGCUCACUGGCCCGAUACUGACGCUGAGGUGCGAAAGCGUGGGGAGCAAACAGG